UGUGGCUUGUAGUUGCGUAGCUGGCAAGAUAUUUCGUUCUGUCAGUUGUCAUUCGGCAAAUCAUGCAUGUUCGAUUUGUUGCGUUGUGAACAAUUUGUGGAAUUUAAUUUAAAUAUUAUAUUUAUUCGAGUUUUAAUUAAUUAGUGUAGAAUAAAAUGGCAGAGACAGAACCCCAAGCCGGAGACACAGGGCCACCGAAGGGCAUCCCUGCCCUGAAGGCUCAUGUGAACGCCAACAGAGUGGACGUUGCCCUCUGGGCCAUCAGAGUCAUGACCGUCCUCUUUACCUUCGCAUAUGUACUGCCUUUGUUCAACAACCCAGUAUCAGCAUUCUACAAGGCCCUCCUCGCGAACGCAGCGACAUCAGCCCUGCGGCUGCACCAACGCAUCCCGGCGCGAGAGAUCUCCAUCUCCCGGGAGUUCCUCGCGAGAUUCUUCCUCGAAGACAGCGCGCAUUACCUCUUCUACUCGCUCAUAUUCAUGAAUGUGGCGCCUAAUUUGUUGAUCCUGACACCAAUCUUCUUGUUCGCGCUACUGCACGCCGCGUCCUACUCGCUCACCAUUCUCGACACUCUAGGUCAGAACUCGAUGUGGGUGGCGCGGCUGCUGAUCUCGCUGGUGGAGUUCCAGUCGCGCAACAUCCUGCGCGCCGCCGCGCUCGCCGAGAUCGUGCUGUUCCCGCUCGUCGCCUUGAUGGCGCUCUUCGGCUACUGCGGCCUCCUCACCCCCUUCGUAUACUACUACUUCGUGACGUGGCGGUACGCGUCACGCCGCAACCCUUACACGCGCAACACGUUCCGCGAGUUGCGCGUCGCCGCCGAGCGAGCCGCCGCCCGCCCCGCCCUCCCCGCGCCCCUCCGCAGCGCCGUCACCCGCGCCGUGCACCUCGUGUGCCGCAUGGCGCCGCCCAUGGACCACGUGCAGCAGUGAGUAGCUAACAUCCGCCCCGCCCUCCCCGCGCCCCUCCGCAGCGCCGUCACCCGCGCCGUGCACCUCGUGUGCCGCAUGGCGCCGCCCAUGGACCACGUGCAGCAGUAAACGUCUCAUACGUAUGGUCAGUUAAGGUGAACAGAAAACUUUCUACAUCACUGUCGUUCUUUAUAUCGAAACUGCGCAUGUGUGCGUGUCUACACGUGUGUGUGUGUUCGUGAAUGUCUUCAGUUGCGAGUUACUUGACCAACACUUGUUCACCGCCACUUUUACAUAAUAUAAACAGGACGAAAAAAAACACUAAAAACAUUAUGUACAAAACGGCCACAUACUAUUACGUAUGUAUAUAAAAAAGUAUUUUUAACUUUUGUACAUUUUCAAAAUCUAAUUUAUAAAGUUACCUGUUUAUGAACUUUGAAAGAAAAAGUUAUUGUAUUCCGAACUCUCAGUAAUAUUAUUUGUCGAAAAACCACGCUGUGAAGGUCAACAUCCACUUGAAGGCGAUCAAAAAACACCGUCCACGCGGACUUAAUGUAAGAACAAACUAUCCAAACCAUUGCAGUACAAAAUCCCAUAUCCAGAUAUUUAGCUAUGGCAACACCGAGACGAGAGUGAGAUAGCGUCAUAUCUCAAGUAAGACCUUUCAAGACUGCCAUUACUAAAUAAUCCAUCCGUACAAUGUAUUCCAAUGCAUUUCAUUUUGGUUGUUAAACUCAGUAUAAUUAUAUUGUAACGUAGGGGAUGUACUUUAUGUAUUUAAGUUUAAUUUCUAUUUAAUGUCGGUCCAAUUUUAUUUAAGACAUAAAGAAUGUUGAAUGUUUAUGUUAGACUGAUAAGUGAUUUAUUAUUCAAUGUAAGUUUUUAUGGUAAAGCGGAAUUGUCUGUCAGUAUUUUAUUUCGUCACAAUGGAAAUUGUCGUUGAGCGAGAAUACUAGAAGAGCCAUCUCUAAAAUGUAUCAAGUAUUUCUUUAAAAUGAAUUUAUUUAUAUUGUUCUACUGGCCCUUCUAGACGAAUAGUUCUAUGAUGGAUUCGACAUUCCAUUUGUGUCUAAUAUCAUAAUAAUUAUUAUUCCAAUCAUGGUUUCCAUUCUCAUUAUUAUUUAAAAUCCAUAAUUUCUAAGCGAGCACAUAUCUCUUUGGAAUUGAUGUAAAACUGCAAUUAAAUAUAAAUAAAAGUGACCUGUCACAUGUUAUUUUUGUGAAUCGUGUAUUCCAUAUUAAUUUGUUUAUGUUGUGUAUCGCCAGCGACAUUUUUGUAUUAGCAAUAAUUAUAAUGCACUUGGUUUGGGGUGAAUGUAGUCAGGUUUUUAAAUAAAUGUUGGUAUAAACGGUAA
rnacentral:misc_RNA from 1 species